rnacentral:misc_RNA from 1 species
GAUGAAGAACGUAGCGAAAUGCGAUACUUGGUGUGAAUUGCAGAAUCCCGUGAACCAUCGAGUCUUUGAACGCAAGUUGCGCCUCAAGCCAUUAGGUUGAGGGCACGUCUGCCUGGGCGUCACAUAUCGUUGCCUGAUGCCAGUUUCCUCGUGAUGGGUGACUGUGCAGGGCGAAUGAUGGCUUCCCGUGAGCAUUGUUGCCUCAUGGUUGGUUGAAAAUUGAGUCCUUGGUAGGGAGCGCCGUGAUAGAUGGUGGUUGAGUGACGAACGAGACCCAAUCAUGUGAGACCCGUACCGAAUUUGGCCUUCAUGACCCACAUGCGUCUUUGGAACGCUCAUGACGAGACCUCAGGUCAGGCGGGACUACCCGCUGAGUUUAAGCAUAUCAAUAAGCGGAGGA